rnacentral:rRNA from 1 species
CUGGCGGCAGGCCUAACACAUGCAAGUCGAGCGCACCCCUUCGGGGGCGAGCGGCGGACGGGUUAGUAACGCGUGGGAACAUACCCUUUACUACGGAAUAGCCUCGGGAAACUGAGAGUAAUACCGUAUGUGCCCUUCGGGGGAAAGAUUUAUCGGUAAAGGAUUGGCCCGCGUUAGAUUAGAUAGUUGGUGGGGUAAUGGCCUACCAAGUCUACGAUCUAUAGCUGGUUUUAGAGGAUGAUCAGCAACACUGGGACUGAGACACGGCCCAGACUCCUACGGGAGGCAGCAGUGGGGAAUCUUAGACAAUGGGCGCAAGUCUGAUCUAGCCAUGCCGCGUGUGUGAUGAAGGCCUUAGGGUCGUAAAGCACUUUCGCCAGAGAUGAUAAUGACAGUAUCUGGUAAAGAAACCCCGGCUAACUCCGUGCCAGCAGCCGCGGUAAUACGGAGGGGGUUAGCGUUGUUCGGAAUUACUGGGCGUAAAGCGUACGUAGGCGGAUCAGAAAGUAUGGGGUGAAAUCCCAGGGCUCAACCCUGGAACUGCCUCAUAAACUCCUGGUCUUGAGUUCGAGAGAGGUGAGUGGAAUUCCAAGUGUAGAGGUGAAAUUCGUAGAUAUUUGGAGGAACACCAGUGGCGAAGGCGGCUCACUGGCUCGAUACUGACGCUGAGGUACGAAAGUGUGGGGAGCAAACAGGAUUAGAUACCCUGGUAGUCCACACCGUAAACGAUGAAUGCCAGUCGUCGGGCAGUAUACUGUUCGGUGACACACCUAACGGAUUAAGCA